GUUUAGCUGUUUCGCUGGGAAACCGCUUUGUGUUCGGAGGCCGUGGCCGAAGGCUACAGGAAGUCCCCGGGGCUACUUGAGUCAUAACUUUGUCAUGCAAUUACGGUGAUCGCUCGUCCAUGCACUCUACAGCAAAAGAUACCUCAUCGUUCUUGCCGCUUUCUAAAGCUGUUCUGGAAGCCCUGUCUCGUAAGUUGCUCCGUCCCGACUGCCUUCAGGUCCUGAGUGGCUUCAACGUGCUCCUCUUUCGUGGUCGCUUGGAUUCCAGGGAAGAGCCAGAAGUUGCCAGGGGCGGGAUGGGGAGAAUGAGAACGAGGCCGAGGAAACCCCACACUCGGGUUCUUGCCAGCCUGCUUCGUGCUGGAUGGUGAUGGGCAUCUGUAGUCACCGUAUUUUUUUUAUCAUACCUCUUGCAAGAGGACACGUAGGACUGCUUCGAAAAGCGGCAAGAACAAUGGGAUAAGAGCAUGGAAAACAGGAUGAGCCUCUUCAAGAUGAUUAAUGGCCAUGUGUCUUACCGUAAUAAAUUUUUAAGAUUUAAAGUC